rnacentral:rRNA from 1 species
UACGAAGGGGGCUAGCGUUGCUCGGAAUCACUGGGCGUAAAGCGCACGUAGGCGGAUUGUUAAGUCGGGGGUGAAAUCCUGGAGCUCAACUCCAGAACUGCCUUCGAUACUGGCGAUCUUGAGUCCGGGAGAGGUGAGUGGAACUCCGAGUGUAGAGGUGAAAUUCGUAGAUAUUCGCAAGAACACCAGUGGCGAAGGCGGCUCACUGGCCCGAUACUGACGCUGAGGUGCGAAAGCGUGGGGAGCAAACAGG